CCUACGGGAGGCAGCAGUGAGGAAUAUUGGUCAAUGGGCGCGAGCCUGAACCAGCCCAGUCGCGUGAGGGAUGAAGGUUCUAUGGAUCGUCAACCUCUUUUAUAAGGGAAUAAAGUGUGGGACGUGUCCUAUUUUGUAUGUACCUUAUGAAUAAGGAUCGGCUAACUCCGUGCCAGCCGUCGCGGUAAUUCGGAGGAUUCGAGCGUUAUUCGGAUUUAUUGGGUUUAAAGGGUGCGUAGGCGGAUUUUUAAGUUAGCGGUAAAAAGUCCGGGCCCAACCCGGGCCGGCCGGUGAAACUGGGGAUCUUGAGUGGGCGAGAAGUAGGCGGAAUGCGUGGGGUAGCGGUG
rnacentral:rRNA from 1 species